rnacentral:rRNA from 1 species
AGUGGCGAACGGGUGCGUAACACGUGAGAAACCAACCCCGGUCUUUGGGAUAACAGGCGGAAACGCCUGCUAAUACCGAAUAACGUCGUUUCCUCGCAUGGGGAGAUGACGAAAGGGCUACCGGAUCGGGACGGUCUCGCGGCCUAUCAGCUUGUUGGGGAGGUAACGGCUCACCAAGGCAUCGACGGGUAGCUGGUCUGAGAGGAUGAUCAGCCACACUGGGACUGAGACACGGCCCAGACUCCUACGGGAGGCAGCAGUGGGGAAUCUUGCGCAAUGGGCGAAAGCCUGACGCAGCAACGCCGCGUGCGGGAUGAAGGCCUUCGGGUUGUAAACCGCUUUUAACAGGAACGAAAAUGACGGUACCUGCAGAAUAAGGUGCGGCCAACUACGUGCCAGCAGCCGCGGUGACACGUAGGCACCAAGCGUUGUCCGGAUUUAUUGGGCGUAAAGAGCUCGUAGGCGGUUCAGGUAGUCGGGUGUGAAAACUCUGGGCUCAACCCAGAGACGCCACCCGAUACUCCUGUGACUAGAGUUCGGUAGGGGAGCGGGGAAUUCCUAGUGUAGCGGUGAAAUGCGCAGAUAUUAGGAGGAACACCGGUGGCGAAGGCGCCGCUCUGGGCCGAUACUGACGCUGAGGAGCGAAAGCGUGGGUAGCAAACAGGAUUAGAUACCCUGGUAGUCCACGCCGUAAACGGUG